AAACAUUCAACAAUGGAUCUCUUGGGUCUGGGAUCGAGGAAGAACGCAGCGAAAUGCGAUAAGUAAUAUGAAAUGCAGAAUUCAGUGAAUCAUCGAAUCAUUGAACGCACAUUGCCCCCCUAGUGUUCUAGUGGGCCGCCUGUACCAGCGUCAUUU
rnacentral:rRNA from 1 species